CCUACGGGUGGCUGCAGUGGGGAAUUUUCCGCAAUGGGCGAAAGCCUGACGGAGCAAUACCGCGUGAGGGACGAAGGCCUGUGGGUUGUAAACCUCUUUUCUCAGGGAAGAAGCUCUGACGGUACCUGAGGAAUCAGCAUCGGCUAACUCCGUGCCAGCAGCCGCGGUAAGACGGAGGAUGCAAGCGUUAUCCGGAAUUAUUGGGCGUAAAGCGUCCGCAGGCGGUCUCGUAAGUCUGUCUUUAAAGAGUGGAGCUUAACUCCAUAAAGGGGAUGGAAACUGCGAGACUAGAGGUAGGUAGGGGUAGAAGGAAUUCCCAGUGUAGCGGUGAAAUGCGUAGAUAUUGGGAAGAACACCAGCAGCGAAGGCGUUCUACUGGACCAAACCUGACGCUCAUGGACGAAAGCUAGGGGAGCGAAAGGGAUUAGAUACCCUAGUAGUC
rnacentral:rRNA from 1 species